AUGUAAAAAUAAUGACGAUAACGUUAUUUUUUGAUUUUAUACGAAUUUUUGUUCUUAGCUAUGCGGCUAUUGGUUCAUCGACCCUAACUAUAACAUAGAUGAAUACUAGGAGAAUUCUUUGAGAAAUAUCUAGUGAAAUCUUUCAGCUAUCUUUAGAAGAAUCAAUGUGUAGUAAUUCAUGAACUUCUUUACAGACAAACCUCCAUGAUUCGAUUGAAGGGACCAUGCAUCGACAUCUGGAGAUAUAUCACUGACUAAACUGACGUGACUCUCGAUUGCAGACGGUAACCGAAAAUAUUCAACGGUCAAUUCAAAUGAUGAGCGGUCGCAAAUGUCAAACUGAUGCAACGUCAAUAGUACGAAGGUGACAUUUAUACAACGAGCAUCUUCAUCAGUCAAACCAAACAAUACACACCGGUUUCAAACUAGUAAGGUAUGAGUAAAGUACUAAAUCUAAAAUAAACUAAAUCAAUUUCGUAUGAUGCAUUUUAGUUUUGUCAAAACUAUCGACAAUCAUGUCAGUCUGAUUCUAAAGCAAUAUAUUUGAGUCAAGAAAAUUUUAUUUCGUAAAGGAAAGCUUAGAUUUUUGUAUUCUCUAUUUCCCAAAUAUGAUUAAAUAUAUUCCUCGUAUUUUUACCCGAACAUGUGUAGUUUUUCCUAGGAGUGCUAAAGAUUUGUCCGUCAAAGUGUUUCUUUACAAAAACCACCAGGUGGAGUUAGUGUUCCAACGUAUUUUCAUUCAAAUAUUUGGCUAUUAU